AGUGAACGCUGGCGGUAGGCCUAACACAUGCAAGUCGAACGGCAGCACAGUAAGAGCUUGCUCUUACGGGUGGCGAGUGGCGGACGGGUGAGGAAUACAUCGGAAUCUACUUUUUCGUGGGGGAUAACGUAGGGAAACUUACGCUAAUACCGCAUACGACCUACGGGUGAAAGCAGGGGAUCUUCGGACCUUGCGCGAUUGCAUGAGCCGAUGUCGGAUUAGCUAGUUGGCGGGGUAAAGGCCCACCAAGGCGACGAUCCGUAGCUGGUCUGAGAGGAUGAUCAGCCACACUGGAACUGAGACACGGUCCAGGCUCCUACGGGAGGCAGCAGUGGGGAAUAUUGGACAAUGGGCGCAAGCCUGAUCCAGCCAUACCGCGUGGGUGAAGAAGGCCUUCGGGUUGUAAAGCCCUUUUGUUGGGAAAGAAAAGCAGCAGGUUAAUACCCCGCUGUUCUGACGGUACCCAAAGAAUAAGCACCGGCUAACUUCGCG
rnacentral:rRNA from 1 species